rnacentral:rRNA from 1 species
ACACGACUCUCGGCAACGGAUAUCUCGGCUCUCGCAUCGAUGAAGAACGUAGCGAAAUGCGAUACCUGGUGUGAAUUGCAGAAUCCCGCGAACCAUCGAGUAUUUGAACGCAAGUUGCGCCCGAGGCCUUUGGGCCGAGGGCACGCCUGCCUGGGCGUCACGC